rnacentral:lncRNA from 1 species
UAGCAUUUUUGCAUUUUAUGGUCUAACUUUGUUAAGAAUCCUGGUUUGGGGGGUGGUGGGGCGGCUGGUGGAAAAAAACUAUUUUCUUCAUUUGCCUGAAUGAGAGCAUAAGCUAAUCCUAACUGACAUAGUCUCGUAAAUGAUUAAAUGCAAUUGUUUGACUGUCAUCAUCUCUGAAGGUGUUGCAGCAGGUGAUCUCUCUGGCAGUACAGAUGCUAACCCAAGUGACAUCUUUAGAGAGCACUUUGAAUGAACAACUCAUGACAGAGGACUGUAGAGAUUUCUUCUCUAUCAGGAUGGGUUUUUAAGCACUUCUAGUCUGCAGACUGAUGCUAGCUUUCUCAAAUGAGCAUUUGAUGUCUCUUUAAAGACUUGAGCAAUAUUUUAAUUAUUAAUUCUUGACAAAGCUUCCUCCAGCCCUUAGCUAAGGCUCACCCAGAUGAGGACUACAGGCCCUCCAAUGUGAAAACAAUGUGUAGAGUCUUCUUGUGCAUCAGUAUUUGUAUGUUUGUGAUUUGCAGGUACACAAAUAUACAACAUGCAUACAAGCAAUUUGGAACUUCUUUUUCUUAAUGAGUAUAAAGCUCAGUUAUGCUACAUCUAUACAAAUUAAAAUAACUACAAUUGAUUGCCACAGAAUAGUUUACAUGCUUAGUUUCUAAAAAUUACUCAUUUCAGUUACCGUAAGUAUUCCU